GACGAACGCUGGCGGCGUGCUUAACACAUGCAAGUCGAACGGAAAGGCCCUGCUUGCAGGGUACUCGAGUGGCGAACGGGUGAGUAACACGUGGGUGAUCUGCCCUGCACUUCGGGAUAAGCCUGGGAAACUGGGUCUAAUACCGGAUGGGAGCCAUUUUUAGUGUGAUGGUUGGAAAGUUUUUUCGGUGUAGUAUGAGCUCGCGGCCUAUCAGCUUGUUGGUGGGGUAAUGGCCUACCAAGGCGGCGACGGGUAGCCGGCCUGGGAGGGUGGCCGGCCAAAUGGGAUUGGGGAUGGGGCCCAGCCCCCACCGGGAGGGGAGGGGGGGGAAGGUUGCCCAAUGGGGGGAACCAUAGUGCGACGCAGCCGGGUGGGGGGUAACGGCCUGGGGUUUGUAAACUCCUUUCCUUAGGGAGGGAGCUUUUUGGACGGGACCCGGAGAAGAAGCCCCCGCUAACUUCGUG
rnacentral:rRNA from 1 species